rnacentral:rRNA from 1 species
UCCGUAGGGUGCAAGCGUUGUCCGGAAUUAUUGGGCGUAAAGAGCUCGUAGGCGGCUUGUCGCGUCGGCUGUGAAAACCCGGGGCUCAACCCCGGGCCUGCAGUCGAUACGGGCAGGCUAGAGUCCGGUAGGGGAGACUGGAAUUCCUGGUGUAGCGGUGAAAUGCGCAGAUAUCAGGAGGAACACCGGUGGCGAAGGCGGGUCUCUGGGCCGGAACUGACGCUAAGGAGCGAAAGCGUGGGGAGCGAACAGG